CUCCCUUUGGCUUUACCAACUGCCCAAUGACCGCUGCGGCGGGGCUGUUUCGUAAGCGGCUGGCCAAUAGCGGAGAGAGGGGCGGGCCUCGGUGGGGGCCUGGCCCAGUGAGAGUCGCGCGGGGGACGAUCCGAUCUCUGUCCAGCUGCGACCCAAUGGGAGUCCCCGCCAGGAGACACAACCGGCGGCUCUCCGGGGAUUUAUAAGGUCCCGCCAGCAACCGCGCGUUGGGAUUCGUGGUGUUGCUGGAGACCCGUAUGGUGUCUGCAGUCAGCGACCCUCCAACUUCAACUACUGGAUCAACCAUGUGUGAGUGCAUCUCCAUCCAUGUGGGCCAGGCCGGAGUGCAGAUGGGCAAUGCCUGCUGGGAGCUGUACUGCCUGGAGCACGACAUCCAGCCCAGUGGCACCAUGCCCAGCCACAAGGCCCUGGGGAGCAGUGAUAACUCCUUCAACACCUUCUUCAGGGAGACCCAGCCUGGCAGGCAUGUGUCCUGGGCUGUCUGUGGACCUGGAGCCUGCUGUCAUAGGUUGGCAUCAACUACCAGUCCCCCACAGUGGUGCCCGGGGGUGCUGUAGCCAAGGUGCAGCGGGCAGUCUGCGUGCUAAACAAUACCACAGCCAUCACUGAGGCCUGGGCCCGCCUCAACCAAAAGUUUGACCUGAUGUAUGCCAAGCGGGCAUUUAUGCACUGUUAUGUGGACAGGGGCAUGGAGGAAGGUGAGCUCUCUGGGCCUGAGAGGACCUGGCUGCCCUGGAGAAGGAUUAUGAAGUAGGCACAGAAUCUUUGGACAGCGAGGAUGAGCAUGAGGAGUUCUAGGGGUCCUGGCACCUGUAACACCUGGUCUCUCGCACCACAGUUGUGUGUGUAUCUCAUUCCACUGUUCCCUGACCCCCUACAAAUACAAUGGAUAUUGCAAGCGAUGUGGAACUCUGUGGAAUUCUGCCCAGGCAGUGGGCCAUCUUUAAGCUUCUCAGCUUCCUUUAAUGUCUUUCUAAGUUGAAGGGCAGGGUGGCCUCUGCUGCUAGGGCCUCCAGCCAGGGCAUGUCUAGUGGAGGAUUGGCACUGCUUCCCUCCUGUGUGAGCGGACCACCCUGACACGCCUUCGCCGGUUCAGCACCCAGGCUGUGGUACUUCAACUUCACAGGGGUCCCUAUGUGUACCCCCUUGUCUCCAGCCCAGUUCGAGGAAGAGUAAGCUUUCUAGAGAUUCUAAUGAAAGCUGCCGAAAGUUUAUCUGCCCCCAGCAUUCCGGGGCAGAAACUGCAGGACUUCAGUGCCACAAGGAAUCAAGCACGUCUAACCACUCCUCCCGCCUGAUGGCCAAGAGAGGGCAGUAGAGGUUGCCUUCACAGGCCUCUCCGCAGCAGCCAUCUUAGACUUGAGGGCUCUGUCCUGAUGCCUUACAAACGCAGGGUCCAAGAAAUAGGAUUCCAAAAAAAACAGUGGUCUCCAGCCUGGGACUAUGAAGAUACGAAACAACUUACUUUAAGGGACAGGGUCUCGCUGUGUUGCAUGCGCUGGAAUGUAGUGGUUAUUCUCACAGAUGUGGUCACAGCAUGCUACAGCCUUGGACUCCUGGGCUCAAGCCAUCCUCCUGCCUCAGCCUCCCCAUGUGGUGGCCUACAGGCACUACCUCAUGCCUGGCUAUGAAGUAAAUCUUAAAAGUGCCUAUGAGACUUUUAGGCAAGAAGAUCCGUAUCUCUUAUUCUCAACGGAGUUCCUAAUGAGGAAAUUAGGAACUGUUGUUUUAGAGGCUUAGGCAUAUCUGCUCACAUGUGGUGUCAGAGAUCAAUUUAUUAGUAAAAGGUUCUGGCAGAAGCUAAUGACUAAACAAAUGGCCCCUUCUGGAACAGUCCAGGUUCAAGGAGGCUGCUUUUAUUAUUAUUUUAUUAUUAUUUAUUUUUUUGGAGACGGAGUCUCACUCUGUCGCCCAGGCUGGAGUGCAGUGGCACGAUCUCAGCUCACUGCAACCUCCGCCUU
ensembl:lncRNA novel transcript